rnacentral:rRNA from 1 species
UACGUAGGGUGCGAGCGUUAAUCGGAAUUACUGGGCGUAAAGCGUGCGCAGGCGGUUCGCCAAGUCAGGUGUGAAAGCCCCGGGCUUAACCUGGGAACUGCGUUUGAAACUGGGAGACUUGAGUGUGGCAGAGGGGGGUGGAAUUCCACGUGUAGCAGUGAAAUGCGUAGAUAUGUGGAGGAACACCGAUGGCGAAGGCAGCCCCCUGGGUUAACACUGACGCUCAUGCACGAAAGCGUGGGGAGCAAACAGG